rnacentral:rRNA from 1 species
CUCGUAGGCGGUUUGUCGCGUCGUCUGUGAAAACUCAUGGCUCAACCAUGAGCUUGCAGGCGAUACGGGCAGACUUGAGUAUUGCAGGGGAGACUGGAAUUCCUGGUGUAGCGGUGAAAUGCGCAGAUAUCAGGAGGAACACCGGUGGCGAAGGCGGGUCUCUGGGCAAAUACUGACGCUGAGGAGCGAAAGCAUGGGUAGCAAACA